UCUACAGAGUGUUAUAACAAAUGAGAGUAGCUUAGGCAAAAUCAGACACGAUGAAGUAGAAA
rnacentral:ncRNA from 1 species